rnacentral:rRNA from 1 species
AUUGAACGCUGGCGGCAGGCCUAACACAUGCAAGUCGAGCGGAUGAAGGGAGCUUGCUCCUGGAUUCAGCGGCGGACGGGUGAGUAAUGCCUAGGAAUCUGCCUGGUAUUGGGGGAUAACGUCCGGAAACGGGCGCUAAUACCGCAUACGUCCUGAGGGAGAAAGUGGGGGAUCUUCGGACCUCACGCUAUCAGAUGAGCCUAGGUCGGAUUAGAUAGUUGGUGGGGUAAAGGCCUACCAAGGCGACGAUCCGUAACUGGUCUGAGAGGAUGAUCAGUCACACUGGAACUGAGACACGGUCCAGACUCCUACGGGAGGCAGCAGUGGGGAAUAUUGGACAAUGGGCGAAAGCCUGAUCCAGCCAUGCCGCGUGUGUGAAGAAGGUCUUCGGAUUGUAAAGCACUUUAAGUUGGGAGGAAGGGCAGUAAGUUAAUACCUUGCUGUUUUGACGUUACCAACAGAAUAAGCACCGGCUAACUUCGUG